UCGUCCUUGGCCCGGCGCUAGUUCGCUCGGCCUCCCUUUCCUCGGGGGCGGGAUGAUGACGGUAAAGCCGGUCUUCCUCGUAGGGUGGUUGGGUUAGUUGAGAUGCUGGACCGGAAAACGCUUUCUGAGCGGCGCGAGUGUUGACGAUUGAAGGAAGAGAGAGCUCAGGCCCCCCUUGGAGUCAGAGGGCCCCGGCCCCUCCUGGGGGGGGGGUCCUCCAGCCUGUGCAGCCCCGUGUGUGCUCUGCGGGUCUCCCGGGCCCGCCCACGGGAGGCUGCCGGUGGUAGUUCUUAAUCCACAUCUGGUGUUAACGUGAGGGUCCUGGAGUGCCCCGAGGUCGGCCCUGGCUUUUCUUUGCGUCGCAGACCUGCAGGUUGAAGCUUAAAAGUAGCGAAUGGAGCCCUGAAAUGGAUGCAGCAGUCUCAGCCUUGGUUUCUGAGGCUGGAAAAGGAUCCUGCUUCUGUAGGACCUGCUUCUGCAGAUGCCAGUAGGAGUGCCGGGUCCACUGCCCUGGGCCCAAAGAGGAGACUGACUUCUGUAUAUAUCUGCAGUGUGUGAGACAACUGAACUACUUUGCCUGAGGUUGGAGUCCCCUCAUUACUGAUCCAUCAAGUGACUCUCUUUGGUCUUACACGUUCUCCCCCAGUGAUGCCAGCUGGAGCAGCACGGCCUCUGUUGCUGUUAAUGCCUAGAAAAUAAUCCCCCAAAAGGAGAAUAAGAAGUCUUUGGGCUUUCUCUUCAAAAAGGAGCCAAAGGCUACUUGAGACCAUCCUGAAUGCCACAGUUGAGCUGAUCUGGGGGUAACUUGCGUGUGGGCAAGAAGACCAUGAUUGUAAACUGAACGCAGUGAACAUGUACGUGCUCUGUUUGGGAGCCUGCGAGGAAGCAGGUGCUCAGCCCAGGAGGAGGUUUCUCCGAGUGGAUUUCCUGUGAAGUUAAUGUUUGUCACUCAGGCUUAAGUUUUGAAGCACAAAUAAACAUUUUUAAAAAUGGA